AUUCUUUAGAAAAAAGUGAGGGACACUAUUAAUAUAUGUUUCAGUUUGUGUAAUCAAGUUGGUAAUAUUUAUCAAAAAUUUAUCAAAUAUAUUUAUUAAAAAAAGCACCUCCCUUUUGUUCCAGUAUUUUGUCUACCAAGUGUGUAUCCUAGCAAUAUUCCCAAACAAGAGCACAAAGGCUUAUGUAAAAGGAUGUCUGGAGCAUCACCUAUACUAAUGAAAACCUGGGGUAAAAUGACCAUCAACAGGAGAGACUAUGUAAAUCAUAGUACAUCUAAGCAAUGGCAUAUGAGGCAGUGGUAAAAAUUUAUGAAAUAAAUAAAAACAUGAAAAAAUGCUCAUGGUUGCAAAGCAGUAUAAUAUCCUCUCAUUAUAAUAACAAAAUGUAUUCAUAUAUGCAGUGGAGUUAUAUGAGAGAUAUGAUCCUGAAGCAAAUUCAUAGCAACUAUAGUCAAACCUGCACUUGUGAACACUAGAGCAACACUCAGCUCCAUGAGAUGUUCAUCCUCCACAGUACUGGAAACUUAGCUCUCCCAACAGAUGGCAAAAUUGUGCCUCAUGUCCCAACCUCUCUCAGGACCUUGUACUCAUUGAGGUCUCAUUUGCAUCUUUGGUUUGGUGACAUCCCGAGGAACAGAGAUGAAAAUUCAGCACUAGUUCCUGGAAGUGUCAUUAUGAUGUCUGCAAUUUGCAAAACUCAGUGGCAGCUCCGGUAA
rnacentral:lncRNA from 1 species